UGAGCUGGCUGCCAUGUGAUUAAGCAGUUGAACGAAUCGUUGCUUAAUUCGGUUUUUCCCGUUAAUCGAUGUUCCGGUUCUGGCUUUGCACGUGCGUCGCACGUACGCAAUUUCAAAUUAUUUUAUAAUUGGGCUUUAUCAUUGACGCAUAUACCCAUGCAUGAUUAAACCGAGAGGGUGGUCCACGUCACCACGUGAAAAAAAAUAAAGGGUACUUUUGGAAUAUAAAAAAGUUUGUAUGAUUUUAAGGAUUGUGUUUGGAAAAAGCAUGUUUUCGUUGGUGGGGUUUAUUAUUAAUAGGGAAUGACAGAGGAUAUUAGGCUAUCAUAGUUUAAUCAUUUGAAAUAUUUUAAUUAAAUAAUUAAAUAAUAAUUAAAUAAUAAUAUUUCUUUUUAGUUACAAGAUUGAAAGCUAAUCUUUCAAAACAUAAUUACCACUCAAACUCAAUCAAAUGAUAAAAAGUUUGAUUUGAGGAUUUAUAAAAUAAUAUUUUCAGAUUGAAAAUCUAGAUGGAAGUCCCACAUCGAAGUAUUUAUUUAUAUUUAUAUUUAAUUAUAUGAUUUGAUUUAGUGAAAACUGCUAAUAAUGAUUAGGGAACAACCUAUUUUUGCUUGGCUGUAAGCAUGAGAGCGACCAAGUUGAAUAAAAAAAUUGGCAUUUGCCCUUUUUAUUUAUUUAUUUAUAUUUGUAAAUUCCAGGAUCCUUGUAAGCAUGUUUCCUAUGAGCUAGAGUUAAUGAGCUUUAAUCUGACCAUAAACGUGGUCUACUUGCAGUAUUAAAAGGAAUUAAACAAUCUUAAGCUGGCAUGAGCUUUUUUUUUCUGAUAAAAAGUACCAUAAUUUAACCUUGAUCACGAAGGCUCCUAUUGGUUGCAUUGCAUGAGGUUGGCCAAUAUAUUAUAGCAAAUUGAUCAUCCUUAGUGUUUUUCUUUUCUUUUUCUUUUUGUUGGGGUAGAAUCUUUUAAGUUGUUGUUAGGUCCAGUUGAGCUUGUUGUAGGGCCUUUAAUUGGGCUUAGUAAAGUGUUUAACAGCGCUUUUCGAAAGUGUUAAAAGCACUUUCAAAGAACUAAAAAUAAAUAAAGUGUGCGCGUUUAAAGCAAUUAUUCUUCGAGAAAAGGUUCUGAGUUAGAGUUCUAGCAUUCGUAUAGUUUGUGUGAGUUUAGUAUGUUAUCGCCCUUCUCAAUAAGAAAAGUCCUAAAAAAAAGAAAAGAAAUUGAAUAAUUGAUUUGAUCUACCAAUUUAAAUUGAAAGGAUUACUUGUAUUUAACCACAAAAGAAUAAUAAGAAGGAAAAAAAACCUUCUGUUUCAAAAAACUUUUGUUCUUUUUUAUUGUCACAAACACGUCAAGGAAAGGAAUAUGGUUGUUGAUGGGCUUGGGAAAUACAGCCAUGAAUUCAGUUUGGGUUAUCAGUAGCUAGGCCAAGGCCUAGUUGGGCCAGACACAUUUGUGAUCAGUUGGAUUUUUAGGGGCUUUAGACCCAUGCAAAAAGAAAAGGAGGCAACGCCGAUACCUAACCAGAGAAAUUGGGGUUAUUGUUAGAGGUUAAUACUCCAAAACAGUCAUCAUACAUUUAUUCGUUAUUUUAUUAUUAUUAUUAUUAAGGAGGAGUGUAUGUUGACUAUUUUAACGCGCUAAUAGCUACUCAGAUAUAUUAUCAUCACAUCUAUUCAAAUAAGGAAAAAUAGUAGAGAGAAGUGAAAUACUAAAGAGAGAGCUUACAAAACAUGACUUAUCUAUUUCAUCUUUGGUAGAACUACGUAUUACAUAAUAGGAAAUUGAGUACCAUCAUUUACAACCUAUGUAUAGAUUACAAGCACUAAUUUCCAAUUAUGUUUUUUUUUUGGUCUAAACACCUAUUACCAAUGUUUAGUUCAUAGGUUAUAGGAUUAACAACAACAAACCAUAUUUAAAUUAUAAUGGGUUAAAGACUAUGUAUUGUUCAGCACACAUUUAGGCUUUGCAUUUUCUUUUCUUUUAAUCAUGGGGAUGAGAUCGAACUCAUGACAUUUAUCAGUCCUAACAAGUUUUUCCCACCUCACUCAUCGCUUGAGUUAGCCUAGACGGCUUACAUUUACUGAGGAUUUGUUUGUAUAUCUUUUAUUUUUAUACAAGCAAUAUUGUGUGUUUGCUCUUUAAAAACUUAUAAAACCUAGGAUGAUACGGCAAUGGUAAUUAUUAAGAAAAAUUAGGUAUUAGACAUAAUUGACUUUACUAAUUAAUAUUCACUACUACAAAAAGUGAAAAAGACGACCAGAAAACAACGACGGUCUAAGUGAAAAUCGUCGUGGUUUUUAAAAAGACGACGGUUCUAAAAACACCGUCGUGUAAUACCACCUUAGACAACUAAAAAUGGAGAUUCAAAUGGCUGUUCAAAAACAACGACGUACCUAAUUAAAAAACCGAGGUCUAUUUGAAACAGAUUUCCGCAGUGUAAAAUCAAAGCCAACAAAGAACGGCAUAAGUUAUGAAUCGACCGACGUAGAAAGUAAAAACGACGAUUUCAAUAAAAGCCGCCGUUUUUACUCAUAAAAUAACACGACGAAAUUUUCGUAUAAGACGCCGUAUAAUUACAAACAAAUCGACGGCUUUAAAAUACAAAAUGUCGCCAUAUUAAAUUAAUUUACAACGACGAAAAAUAUAAAUAUAUCGACGUUAUUCUCGUAUAGUUCUACGACGUUAUCUUUAAAUCGUACUAUAAAAUUUAACGUCGUAUUUAUUAAUUUUAUACGUCGUACCUUUAAUUUAAACCGUCGUCUUAAUAAGAAUUUUUGUUAACAAUUUUUUCCUUUAUUUUCUUAUCCUACGUUGGUAGAUCUACUUAAUGACAAGAAUUGAAAUCUGUCAUCCAAAAAAGAAACUUAACAUAAUCCAGAACAUUAAUUUCCUUCAUUUUAAAUUUCCUCCGGAAAAAAAACUCUAUUUAUAACGCACUGUAAUUGAAAAAUAAACUGAAAGGUCACGGGAAAAAAAUUUCUAUUCAUAAUUUAACAAUUCAAAUCCACGUCGGUUAUAUUAAACCUAACGACGUUAAAUGAAAAGAUUCCACGUCGCAAAACAAAUAUUGCGUCGUGUUAGUUUAUGUUUCUUUAAUAGUUUCAGUUUCUUUAACAGUUUGGUCCUUUAUCUUUCUGCAGGACUUGUAUAGUUCAAAGCAUUGACUUGUAUAGUUCAGAGUAUAGUUCAAAGCACUGAUUCGAUUGCUCAUGCUUUAUCGCAUUCAUGAAGCCAUUUCUAUUCUUUAUCGCAUUCUUGAAACCCAUCUUCUUCUUCUGAAGCUCUACGGAUAAAGGAAGAGGCUAUCACAAAUCUGACGGAUCUUCUUAGCCAAGAAAAUCAAGCAGAGGAUCAGGCACAUCUGAUCUUCAGAUUUCCCUGAGAAGCGAACUUUCCUUCGACAGCGAGUGGAGGCCAGGCUUGCAUCUCUUUUGAUGGAAAGCAAAGAGUAUUCAGAAGCACUAAAUGUCCUAUCAGGCUUGAUCAAGGAAGUGAGAAGGCUAGUUGACAAGCUUCUUCUUGUGGACAUAGAUUUGAUGCGAGUAAGCUCAAUUUCUCUUUGAGAAAGACAUCCAAAUUACUGUCUUUGAGAUGUGAGAGACAGUGUCUCUGAGAGAGGAAGAACUUGGAACCCUAAAUGUAAACCGAAAAUGAAUGAAAGCGACAAAUUUAUAGAAUAAAUUUUUAAAACCAACGGCGGUCCUUACAAAAAAACCGCCGUUUAAAUUUUAAAAUCAACGUCGUUAUGACCGACGUAUAUUACAUAAAUCCACGUCGGUACAUUAAUAAAACUGACGUGUUAAAUGAUCUACCAUGACGCGAGUUAUUACUUAUGUACUUUAAUUUUUGAGUUUACUACGACGGUACCUACAACACUACUGUCGUACUUAUUUACCACGUCCGAAGUUAAACGUACUGUCGUAUUUUGUAAUUUAUACGUCAUAGUUAUAUGUAACCGCCGUAUUAUUUUUUGAAAUGGCUUUAUAUGUAAGCAACUUUUCGUGUACCUGUCUUACACAUGCACUGUUUCCAAACCCGAUUAAAAAUUUCAAUCUCCCAGAGAAAACUUUUAGACUUUUUUCCUUGUCAGAGCACUUUCAGAGUAUCUCAUCGUCUUCCUCUCGUCUUCUUCGUCGUCUCUGAACUUAAACAUCGAUCGUCUUCCUCUUGCUUUCAUUGCACGCAAAAGGUAAGCUUUCAUUUUCACUAUUUUGGUUGCUGUUUUGCAUGCUCAUACGUUUUUUGUUUGAAAAAUCUUUUUAUCUUUUUUCUGGCCAAAAUCAUUUUACUUCUUUCCAAGUUCGAAAAAAUAUACAGACAAAGAGGGAAAGUUUCCAACUUUGAAGACAACUACCUCAACUAAAUAAGACGACGGUAGCUUCUUAUUUACGUGGUUAAAUAUGUAGACCACCACGGUUCGUCAGUCGUUCUAGUGUCGUCUGAAAAUUGACAAAGUUGUUUUUAAAAUUAUAGUCUUUUUUUUAUUUGCUUGUUUAAUUGCAGGUUUGAUUUCUCUGAACAAUGGUUUUUGUUUUUCCCUAAUUUGAUAAAAUAUAAAGAAAAAGAAAUUAGGGUUGGUAUCUAAUAUAGACGACAGUAUCUUAUUGUUUUACGUCGUGUGAAUGUUAAUAUCACGACGUCAUAUUAAAAUACCGUCGUCUAUAUAAGAUUCCAAAACUUUCUUUCUUGGCCUUGUAUUUUAUCAAAUUAGAAAACAAAAACCAUGGUUCAGAAAAAUCAAAUCUGCAAUCAAACAUUCACAGAGAAAGAAAGAAGGGUUUUGGAUCCUUAUAUAGACGACGGUAUAUUACUACUGACGUCGUGUGAACAUCAAUACCACGACGUUAUAUAAAUAUUCCGUCGUUUAUAGUUAAUUAUUACGUCGUUUGUAGUUAAUUAUUUCGUCGUUGUUUAAUUACCUUGGUUUUAAACAUUUAUUACGUCUGAUAUUAUUUCAUUGCGUCGUUUAAAAUCAUAUCAUACGUCGUCUUUUAUUAAUAACCGUCAUUUGUGUUCUUAAUCUUUUCUUGAAAUAUUUUCACUUUCAGUUUUGUCUGUAAAAAUGGUUUCUCACCAAGACCAAAGUAAGGAUUCUGGCUCCAACAAAAAUGGAGGUAAGGAGCAAGUACCUCCUCAAGAGAAGUCUUCGAAGAUAAUGAAGUCUUCGAAGAAGAUGAAGUUUGCUUCAUCAUCUGCUGAUACAGAACCAACCAGCGCGACAACAAUCUCUGAUGAUUCAAAGGCUGGUCGAGGUAUGAGCACAAUGCCUCGUGUUGUGAAGAGAAAACUUCAGAAACUGAGGCCAAUUGUUGAGUACAAUAAAAGGGGGAAAGGAAUUGGCCAAGCACACAGUGAGAUGCAGUCCUAUAUUGGUGUGUUGGCACGCUCCAGAGUCCCACUUGUGGACUUGAAAUGGGCUCAAAUCCCCAAGGAUAUAAAGGAGCAGAUUUGGGAAGCAGUUGACAUUGCUUUUGUAGUAGGUCAAGGGGGCAAGAACUCUGUCUUAGCUUCUGCUGCCAAGAAAUGGAAGGAUUUCAAGUCUACACUAACGAGGCAUUAUAUCCUUCCAUACACCAAUGACAGGGAGAGAUUAAGCCAACCCCCUGAAACAUAUAAAUUCAUAGAGAAAGCACAAUGAGAUGCCUUUGUAGCUUCAAGGCUAUCCAAAGAUUUUGAGUCUGUGCAUUCUCAACAUGCACAGAUUAGGGAGAAACUCGAGUACAAUCAUCGAUUGUCUCGAAAAGGAUAUGCUGGUUUGGAGGAUCAAUUAGAGGAAACCAUGCCUGGGGUAGAAAUUGAUCGAUCUACCUUAUGGAAGAGAGCUAGACAGGACAAACAUGGUAACAUCCCUGAUCCAAAGGUGGCAGAGAAAGCAAAAUUAAUUGUAAGCCUACUCACUCUGUUUUAAAUUUUUAUUAAACUGUGAAUAAUUCUUAUUACGUCUUAUGUUAUAUUUUGCGUCGUGUGAAUGAUAUUACCACGUCGACAUUUUUUAAAACACGUCGUUAAAGGUCUAAAUAGGAAUCACAACUCUGUUUUCUGUAAUUAUAGCAUAAGAUGUCGGUGGUUCAAUUUCGCGUCGUCUGUAUUAAAUUACUACGUCGAAAUGUUUUGAACAACGUCGUUAAAGGUGUGAAUAUUGAAUCAUCCCUCUGUUACAUAAGACGUCGGUGGUUUAUUAAUUUUGUCGUUUUAAAAAACUAACCACGUCGGUAUAACUACCGUCGUGAUAAAUUAUAAUAACGUCGAUUUAUAUGUUAUUGCGUCGUGUGAAAUUAUAUAAUACGUCGUUUGUAUAUAAAUAACCGUCGUGUGUUUUUGUUCUUACUUUUUUAUAUAUCUUUGUUUCAGGAUGAUUUGCAAAAACAAGUCUCGGAAGGCAAAGUCAUCGUCUCUGGCAGCAAUGAUGUGCUGACCAUGGCUUUGGGCCCCGAGCAUCCAGGCAGAGUCAGAGGAGUAGGUGCUGGGAUCUCACCAAAGCAAUAUUUCAAUUUACCCAAACCACAGAGAGUGAGCUUUGACGACCGUUUGAAGGACAGUUUAAGAGUUCUCCUUCAAGAAGAGACUAGAAAGAUGGAGGCUAAGGCAAGGGAAGAGGCUUUAAGGAUGGAGGCUAGAACGAAACAAUUGGUAGAGGCUGAGAGGGAGCAUUUCCUGAGUCAGCUUUCCCAAUUAAUUCCCAAUUUUGAUCCAAGCAUGCUUAAACCCAGAAUUAGCCAAAGUCCCAAAAAUCCAAUGUCUGACAAAGCAAGCUGCUCUGGAGGUGAUGUGAGAUCCCAGCAUUUUGAGGAUGAUACUGCCAAAAAUGGGAAACAUCAGGAAGAAAAGGUAACAUAUAUGAACUUUGAAUUGUCUGUUUUUUUAAAAACCAUUAGACGUCGUUAUUAUUAAUAAAACCGUCGUUUGAAAUACAUACCACGACGAUUUUAAAAAUAAACCGUCGUUUGUAUUUCAAUACCACGUCGUAUUUAGUUUACUUGUUUUACACGCCAUUAAACGUCGUUAUUUUUAAAACUUUGUGGUUUUUAGACGACGGAGUUAAUCAUUCCCGACGUCAUAGAUGAAGAGAAUAAAGAAGAAAAACAAGAUGAAAAGCAGAAAGAAGAUGACGACCAGGUAUGUUCACAUAACUUUGCCUUUUUUAUUUGUUUUUCAAAAUUCCAGACGUCGAUAUUUUUCUUUAAACCGUCGUUUGUUUACAACUUAGACGGCGGAAUUGUUUUCUAAGACGUAAUAAAUAAUUCACCACGAUGGUUGUUUCACCGUCGUUUAAGUUAUUUUCAGACGACGUUUUAUUCCUUAAACCGUCGUUUUUAUUGAAUUACCACGUCAUUUUUUUUAUUUCUUUAAACAGGUUACUAAAGUUGUUGAUUAUUCAAAUAUGGAGGCGCCAUCUUCUUUACAAACCCUUUGUCGUUAUGUGGAAACGACACUCGUGCCUCAGGAUAAGACCCUGCACUUUACAAUUGAUAAGGAGGUCUUUGGUCUAGAGCGCGAUACCUUCCUCCUGCCUGAAGAUAUUACACAAUUUGCAGGCAUGGAGGAAAUAGGAGCUACAGUCAUUGCUGUAUAUAUGAGGUUUGUCAUUCUAAAAUAAUACGUCGUUGGUUUAUUUAUUGCGUCGUCUUAACUAUCUAACCACGUCGUUAGUAUGUACCGUCGUGAUAAAUUUAUUAUAACGUCGUUGUCUAUUUCAGUACGUCGUGUGAAACCUUAUAAUACGUCGUUUUGUUAUACAUAACCGUCGUGUGUUUUUUUUGCGCUGACUUGUUUAUAUUAUUUUAUAUAUUUAGGUACUUACACGAUGUUUUAAAAAAAGCAAAUAUGUGCACAAUGGUUGGCUUUAUCGACCCUGCUACAGUUAGUGCCAGCUCUGGCACAAUAGCUGACAGAUCACGACUGGUAGCAUCACGACUUCAGAAGACUGACGGUGAACAGAUUUUCCUGAUGCCUUACAAUCCAGGGUUAGUCUCCUUAACAGGAUUUUGUUUUUAUGAUUUUCAAUAAAUGACAGCGUAUAAACUAACCACGUCGGUGUUUUAUUUUAUUGAGUCGUUUGAAACGACUAACCACGUCGGUAGUUAUUUAUCGUCGUGAUAAAUAUAUAAUGUCGUCGAUUGCUACUUUAUUUCGUCGUGUGAAAUAUUAUAAUACGUCGUUUUUGUAAAUAACCGUCGUUUUUAUAUUAAUUUUGUGCAGCCGUCAUUGGAUCUUGCUGAUUGUAAGAGCAAAGAGGGAAACAGUCUAUUUUCUGGAUCCUCUGCCAGGAUAUCGUGUGGUCGAUGAAGAGGCCAAAAACAUCGUGAAUAGUGCCAUAAAAAUUUAUAAUUCCCACAUAGCCAGAUCAGGCCGUAAGGCAGUCAUUUGGAAAACUCUGUCAGGCACACCAAAGCAACCCAGCAAUGUCGAAUGCGGGUAUUACGUGAUGCGCUUCAUGAAGGACAUCAUCAUGGAUCCUUCCUUGGGGUUUGAGAAGAAGGUAAGAAGAAAUAACCUUCAAACAUUUUACAUCGUUUUUUAUAUUAUCAACGACGGUCAUGUAAAAUUACCGUCGUUGAAUAGAUAUACUACGUCGGUUAUGGUCGUCUGUGAUUGAAUUUCCUUUUAUUUAUAAACCCUAAUAGUCAUUGUUUUUAUGCAGUAUGCGAAGGGAAAACAGGAAGAGCCAUACCCCCAAGAAGCAAUUGAUGAAGUCCGGAAUGAAUGGACAGAGUUUGUUUGCCUUCAACUUAAAUAGGGGAAUUAUUGAACACUUGAUAUUUAUGUAUAAUGUACAAAUUUUGUCUAUAAUAUAUAAUGUAAAAAUUUGUUGAGGUUUUCUUAAAGUAAAAACAAAAACAAACAUACAAAAUGCGUUACCGACGUGUAAUAAUUUUCCAACGACGUAAUAAAGUCAAAAGCCGUCGUUUUUUGUGGUUUCGUUUUAAACAAAUACGACGUAAAAGGAUAUUUAGACGACAUUCUUUGAACAAUGGAGUCGUUUAUGGUUUACAACGUCUUCAAUUUCUUAAGGGUUCAGGGUAGUACUUUGUAACGACAGCGGUUAAGUCGAGGAAUAUAUAUUUUACGUCGGAUAGUUAAAUAUCCGCCAUCGUUUCUCAUUUAAACGACGUCAUUUUAACAACUUAGUCGUCUCUUACAAUUUACAACGUCUACAAUUUAUUAACACCGACGUGGUUUGUUGUUGUGAUAAGAAUAUUUUAUUAUUUUUAUAUCAAAAUAUUCAAAAUAAAUUUAAAAUAAAUCAGAAAAAUGCAAAGUCAACUCCUAUGAAGUCAUUGAUAUAUUUUCUUCCCCCUAAAGCUUGAAAAAAUUCAUUUUGAAUAACAAAAAUUUAAAAUGAACAUCCAAAACAAAAUUGUUUUGAUGAGUCAUAAAAUCACUUCUAGUUUUAUGGUUUAGGGUUUAGAGUCUAGGGUUUAGAGAUUAGGGUUGUUAUUUAUUGGGGUUUAUUUUUAAAGUAUAAUUUUUGGGUAGUCUAGGGUAUAUAUUAGGCUGUAAAACCAUAAACCCUUUUAUAAACUUAAUUUUUAAAAUUAUAUAAUUUAGUUUUAAGGGUUUAGGGUAUUAAUUGUUAACGACGGUGGUUGAGUCGUGGAAUACAUAUGUUACGUCGUCCAGUAAAUUAUCCGACAUGGUUUCUGCGUUAAACGACGUCAUUUUAAUAUGUAAGUCGUGUAUUAUUAUUUACAACGUUUUCAAUUUCUUAACCCCGACGUGGUUUUUCAGUCGUCUUUAUAUCAAAAUAUUGAAAAUAAAUUUAAAAUUAAUCCGAAAAUGAAGCGUCAAAAUAAACGGCGUUACGUUCAGUGUUUUCGUCGUGGAAUAUUACAUUUACGUCGGUUCUUGUAGAACUUUCGCCAUGGUUUUUCUUUCGACGUUUUAAAGAGCGCGCGCUCUAAAAAUUUUCGCGCGUCCUAAAUUUUUUUAUAUUUGGCUCUUAUUCUUAUUCUUCUAACCCUGAACCCUAAAAUUUUCAGAUUUCGUGCAACAUAACAUUUCGCUCUCUCACUUCUGCUCUAAUUAAAAGUUGCUCUAAUUAAAAGUUGCUCUAAUUAAAAGUUGCUCUGUCACUUCUGCUCCGUCGAAUCUGUGAGCUCGUCCAACCUGUAAGUACAAACCCUAUCUUCCCCUUGUAAAUUCAUUGAAUGAUAUUAGGUUGUUUUGUUAAAGAGUUUUAGGUAUAUGCUUUGCGAUCUGUUAAUAAUGUGCUUAUAAGUAUGGGUUCAUGGAUUUUCUGUUUAAUGGGUUCAUGGAUUACAUUAUCUGUUAUGUUGAAUUGGGAAUGGAUUUAAUUUUGUCGGAUCUUUUAAUCACCCUAUGUUAUGUUGAAUUUGGAAUGGAUUUAUUGUUUUCAUGCUUGGUUUCAUGUAUAUGUUGUUUUCUUGCUUGGUUUCAUAUAUAUGUUGUGUUCUUAAUGGGUUUUGGGUUCUUGAAAAUAAACUGAGACACGACGCCUUUUUAGGCAUACGACGACGAUUACACGACGGUUUAUGAAAAAACCGUCGUUGUAUUAAUUAUACACGACGGUGUUUUCAUAAACCGUCGUUUGUAUUACUUAUAUUAGACGACGUCUGUUGAAAAUCCGUCGUCUAUAUAUGCCAAAUACGUCUGUUUUUGUUUAAAACCCGUCGUCUCUGUUGUGUAUUACUUGCUAUUAGAUAUUUGUAUAAUCUGCUAUAGUGAUGGUCAUUGCCUGUAUUUUCACUUUAUUAUAGAUAAUAGGUUAUAGUGUCGGAGAUGGAUAAGUCAUGGAUGCACUCGGAUAGAAGAUCGAAGGCAUAUGAGUUUGGGGUGGAAGCAUUUUUGAACUUUGCUGUAGAAAAUCUUCUAACUACAACACAUAUCCGUUGUCCAUGUGUUAAAUGUGUUAAUUUGAAGUUGUUUGGGGUUGGAAUUAUAAGGGAUCACUUAUACUUUAAUGGAAUUGACCAAAGCUAUAAGAAUUGGACAUUUCACGGAGAACCUUGGGAAGCAACUACUAAUGCUAGUAGAAAUGUUGAAGAAGAUGAUGGCCAUAGUAGGUACAGUUUUGUGUCUGAAGAAAUUGAUAUGGAUGAUAAUGAUUUUGGUUCCGAUCCGUAUGAGUUUGCCAAUAUGAUUGGGGAUGGAGAUCAACCAGUGUACCCUGGUUGUAGAAAGUACACGAAGUUAUCGGCAUUAGUGAAGUUGUAUAAUUUGAAGGCAAAACAUGGGAUGAGUGAUGUCUGUUUUACAGAAUUAUUGAUACUUCAAGGCGAUUUGCUUCCAGAAGGAAAUACAAUACUUCAAGGCGAUUUGCUUCCAGAAGGAAAUACAAUACCAACCUCUAUGUAUGAGGCUAAAAAGACUUUGUGUGCAUUGGGGCUGAGUUAUGAGAAAAUGCACGCAUGCCCCAAUGAUUGCAUCUUGUAUAGGAAGGAGUAUGACAAUUCAACUAAUUGUCCUACUUGUGGUAUCUCAAGGUGGAAGGAAGGCAAAGAUUCAAUCUUGAAAGAGGGUGUGCCAGCGAAGGUGGUGUGGUAUUUUCCUCCAAUUCCAAGGUUUAAAAGGAUGUUUCAAUCACAUGAGACAGCUAAGAGUUUGACUUGGCAUGCUGCUAGAAAAUCAAUUGACGGUUAGAUGUCUCAUCCGGCGGAUUCCCCGUCUUGGAAACUUCUUGAUGAUAAAUGGCCUGAGUUUGGUAAUGAGCCGAGAAACUUGAGAUUGGCUCUUUCAUCUGAUGGAUUCAAUCCCCACAGUUCUCUAAGUAGCAGAUAUAGUUGUUGGCCGGUUAUCUUAGUUACAUAUAAUCUCCCUCCAUGGUUGUGCAUGAAACGAAAGUUCAUGAUGUUAACCUUAUUGAUUUCCGGUCCUAAACAACCCGGAAAUGAUAUAGACGUCUACUUGGAGCCUUUGAUUGAUGAUUUAAAAUCUUUGUGGGAUGGGAUUAGAGGAGUGUAUGAUGCACAUAAUGGAGAAUACUUUACACUCAGAGCUGCAUUAAUGUGGACAAUUAAUGAUUUUUCCGCCUAUGGAAACUUAUCUGGUUGUGUUGUUAAAGGAUAUAAAGCUUGUCCAAUAUGCGACGAUGAUACACCUAGUCACAGGUUGAAAAAUGGCCACAAAAUUUGUUACAUUGGGCAUAGAAAAUGGUUACCAAUCAAUCAUCCAUAUAGGAGGCAACGUGCAGCUUUUAAUGGGAAACCUGAAUAUGGUAUACCUCCCGAGCCAUUAACCGGAGAAGAAGUGCUGCAUAUGGUUGAAAAUGGUGACAGAGUUUGUUGGAAGAAGAAAUCAAUAUUCUUUGAUCUCGAGUAUUGGAAAUACCUUCCUGUGAGGCAUGCCCUAGAUGUUAUGCACAUUGAGAAGAAUGUUUGCGAUAGUAUUAUUGGUACAUUGCUGGAGAUCCCUGGAAAAAAUAAAGAUGGGAUUGCUGCUCGAUUAGAUUUAUUGAACAUGGGGGUCAAAACUGAUUUGCAACCCGAGUAUGGAGAAAGACGUACUCGUUUGCCUCCUGGGCCUUGGAAUUUGUCAAGAGCAGAGAAGAGAGAGGUUUGCAAUUCUUUCUAUGGUAUGAAGGUCCCUGAAGGUUAUUCUUCAAAUAUUAAAAAUCUUGUAUCUUUACAAGAUUCAAGACUUCUUGGCCUUAAAUCACAUGAUUGUCAUACCUUAAUGCAACAAUUGCUCCCUGUGGCAAUUCGUUCUGUUUUGGAGAAGCCUGCAAGGUAUGCAAUAACUCGUUUGUGCUUCUUCUUCAAUGCUAUAUGUGCAAAGACUGUUGAUGUUUCCAAGCUAGAUAAGUUGGAAGAAGAUGUAGUAGUUACUCUGUGUUUGCUUGAGAAGUACUUUCCCCCUUCAUUCUUUGAUAUCAUGGUUCAUCUAGUAGUACAUCUUAUCAGAGAAGUUCGUCUAUGUGGGCCAGUAUAUUUUAGGUGGAUGUAUCCGUUUGAAAGAUAUAUGAAAGUGCUGAAGGGGUAUGUUCAGAAUCGUACUCGUCCCGAAGGUUGCAUUGCUGAGCGGUAUAUAGCUGAAGAAGCGGUAGAGUGUUGUACUCAGCAUUUAUCUGAUGUUAGUACAGUUGGAGUGCCUUCAAGCCAAAAGAUGGGACUUUCAAAGCCAUUAUCAGGUUGCACAGUGAGCGUAGUUGAUCAGGACCUGUUGAAUCAAGCACAUCUAUAUGUCUUGGAGAAUACGGAGGAAGUCCUACCUUAUAUCGAGUACGUAUGAGCUUUAUUCUUUAAGUUUCCAUUUUAAAUUAUUUCUUAUGUUUAUCUUCUAUAUUUAGGACCGUAAUGCUUGAAUUUUUCGUGUCAUGUAGGCAACAUAUGAUUCACAUCAAGACUGCUUAUCCAAAAUUUAGAAAGAGAACAAAGUGGCUGCAGGAUAAGCACAAUAGCACUUUCAUUCAAUGGCUACGCUUUAAGGUAUAUAUUGUUGAAUAACAUAUUUCUCUUUUAAUUUUCUUCUUAUUUAUAUGUUAGAUUGAAUUAAGAUAUGAUUAAUUUGCAGGUUCAAAGUGAACUUGAGGAAGACAAUCAUGACGUAUCAGAAAAUUUAAGGUGGCUAGCAGCUGGUCCAAACAUGUCAGUGCCAUUAUAUAGGAGCUAUCUUAUUAAAGGUAUUAAAUUCAAUAUCAAGGCACAAGAUGAUGUGCGGACAACUCAAAAUAGUGGAGUUUAUUUACUUGCACAUACCAUGCAAGUUGCUAGUGCCAAGGAUAAAAACCCAAUUCUCUCAAAUAUGGGUUUCUAUGGUGUCAUUCAAGAAAUUUGGGACCUUGACUACCAAAAGUUUACAAUCCCAGUCUUUAGGUGUGAUUGGAUAGAUAGUUCUGGUCUUGUAGUCGACGAACUUGGAUUUACCCUUGUAGAUUUGAGUAAAAUUGGACAUAGGAAUGACCAAUUUGUUUUGGCUUCUCAAGUCAAACAAAUAUUUUUUGUUGACGACCCGAUGCAUCGUGGUUGGUCGGUAGUGUUAUCAAUGCCUAAUAGAGAAUAUAAUGAUGUUAUUGGUGAUGAAGUCUUAGGUGAUGUGAUAAUUGAGUGUGAGCCAUUUACUAGAGGGAUGCCAAAUGUUGACACAUUUGAUGAACUGGUAGGUGAGUUAGGCGGUCAAAAUAUUCGAGAUGGGUGUGAAGAUAUAUGGAUUGAAUGAUGCUUAUGUAAUUGGCAGUGUAUGACAUUAAUUUUGUAAUAUAUUGUAAUGCGAUUUCUUCACUUUCUACGUUCAAAUAAAACACGACGUUAUUGUGAAUCAGUUAUUCAGCAUAUUUACCGACGUCUUAAAGCAACGUAACAAUGAAGAACCAUGACGCUAUUGUGAAGCAAUUAUUCAGGAUAUCACGUCGGUGAAGGAUUAAGAACCACCAUGUAAUUCAGAAUAACACGACUCCAAUCCCAUAAUACCGAUGUCUAAAAAACGAGAUAUAUAAUCUGAACGUUAAAAAAUACGACGUCAUCAUACAUUUUCCACGUCGUAAGUUCUUUUAUAAACGAAGAGGAACGAAAUGAAUUCCGACGGAAGUUCAUUAUAACCGCCGUUUAAUAACAAUUAAACGACGUUAUUUGUAAUACGGCUCUCAUCAUAAUCUACGCCGUCUAUAUGUUCUGUUAUACGGCUCUCAUUUAUUUGGAACCGACGUUGUUUAGAAGUUCAACGUCGUCUAUAUUAUUAAGUGCGUCGUGAGUAAUGAAUACAUAUAAAUACAACGUCGACUAUAUAAAUGUAUACGUCGUAAAUAAUGACACUGACAACUAUUUCCACGUCAUCUUUUUUAGAAAAAUCGAAGUGGAAAAUUUAUUUCACGACGGUUUUUUGUAAAUAAGAGACGUAGUAGAUUUCAAUAACGUCGUCUUCUCAUGUAUUUAAAGACGUCAUAUUUUUUCUUGUCGGGUAAAUUAUAUUUAACGGCGUAGUAUUUUAGUUGUCGUCGUUGUAUGUAUAUCUUGCGGCCUUGUUCUUUUAAUAUGUGUCAUAUUUUUCCUUUUUAACGACGGUGAUUUUUUUGAGUUGGUCGUCUAUUCUCAUCAUCGACUAUUUUCUAGAACUUUAGCAGACUAAACACGUCUGUUUUUAUUUUUUUCCGACGUUGUUUUAUUUAACAACGUCUAAUAUUUAUCGUCGUUGUUUGUUUCUGAAAAUAGGACGUAUAAAUUUUGUAAUACGACUCUCAUAUAUUUGUUACCGACGUUGUUUAGUGUUUCAACGUCUACUCUAUUAACAUAUACGUCGUAAAUAAUGACACUGACAACUAUUUCCACGUCAUCUUUUAUCAAAAAAUCGAAGUGGAAAAUUAAUUUUACGACGGUUGUUUUUAUAUAUGCGACGUAGUAGGUAUCAAUAACGUUGUCUUCUAAUGUAUUUAAAGACGUCAUAUUUUUUAUUGUCGUGAAAAUUAUAUUUAACGUCGUCGUAUUUGUAUUUUCGUCGUUGUAUGUCUAUCUUGCGGCCUUGUUCUGUGUCAUAUUUUUCCUUUUUAACGACGGUUUUUUUAGAGAGUUGGUCGUCUAUUAUCAUCCUCGAUUGCUUUUUUUAGAUCUUUUUGCAGUACAAAGACGUCGUUUUGUAUUUGUUGAUGACGUUGUAUAUUUUAACAACGACGGUUAUUAUGCGUCGUGGUUUAUGAGGGAAAAGAUGACGGUGGAUUCCACGACCAUUGAAAAACCCAAUACACGACGGUGAUUUACCGUCGUCUUUUUGCUUUUUUGUAGUAGUGAUUUGAGACAUUGGGCAUUUUUGUUUGGGUUUUAAUAUUUAGAAAAGAAUUGUUAUUUUGGAUUAGGCCAAAGAGAAGGCCCAGAUUCGUUGGGCCUGUCUAAAUUAUAAAGGUAAAAUACAAUUUUACCAUUUUGUUCUAAAAUCAGAUUUCAACACCUCUCUCUCUCUCCUCUUCCUUGUUCACUCCAGCGAUGACGACUCCCUCUUCUCUCCAUUGACGAUACGACGCCCUCUCUUUUUCCUCUUCCUUCUUUGCUCAAUCAACGACGACGACACCCGCUCUCUCUCCUAUUCCUUAUUUGCUCCAUCAACAACGACACCCUCUCUUUCAUCUUCCUUCUUUUCACGCAAAGCUCUGUUUUUCAUCUAGUGAGGUAUGUAUUUUAUAGAUCAGAUUCUUAUUGCAAUUUUGUAGAUCUGUUAGGCCAACCUAUAUGGAUCUAACAAUAGAUCCGUUAUUUCAAUUUUCUAGAUCAAAUUCUUCUCAAGCGAAGUUUAUGUGUCUAUUGAUUUAUUAAGACUAUAUGGAUCUAACAAUUCGUUAGGCCAGCCUUGUCAUUGGUGUGGGGUGAAAUGAUUUGGCUUUAUUUCACAUUUAUAAAUAAGUUUUGAACUCUGCUUGAUUGCCUGAAUGGAAGGUUUGGACAUACAUCUUUAAUUCUUGAUAAUUUUUCAUUUUCAUUAGUCUAACGUUCUAAUAUUGGUCUCGUAGAACUUUUGAGAUUGAAGAGAUUGCGAAUUGUAACAAUGUAGUUGGUAGGAAUUAAGCUAUUUUUUUAGGUGAAAAACUAUUGUUCCAUGUUCUGAAUUUUCCUCUUAGAAAAGAAUUAGUCUAAUUACAUAGAAUACUCUUUAAAGAUCCCAAUUACAUCACUGUAUGAAAAUUCCUCCUUGAGAGUGCCCUCUACACUUGUGUAACGAAAAUAUUGAACUAAUACUAAAUUAUUAGUUACAACAUUAGGCAUUAUUCUUUGCUCCAUCAAGCUGCUUAUUUGAUUUGUCAUGCAAUGCUAUUUGAUUUCUUUGGUUGCUGACUUUGCUUUGUAUAUGACAUGUUAGGUUGGCUCCUAUCAUUCAUCUUCGUUAUUGGUGGCUUCUAGACCUCCAACCCCUGGUGUUCUUAGUCGAGGGAUUGGUCUAGAAGGUCUUUCUAGUGUCUUGGCCGGUCUAUGGAGUACUAGAACAGGCUCCAUAAGUUUAACUGAAAAUGUGCACACACUAGCUGCCACUAAGAUGGGAAGCUGUAGAGCUGUUGAAUUGGGCGCAUGCGUUUUGAUUGUCUUAUCCCUUGUCGGUAAGUGUUUGUUAAGCUUGUGUUUUCAAUUGCAACAAUGAGUCAGUAACAACAUAAAUAUGGUAUCUUCUAUCAUUUUUAGUACAUGCUUUGAUCAUUUUGUUAUAGCAUGCUAUUCUAGUAUUGAUACAAGUAUUUGUACGAUUACUAUUUCGACAUUAGUUUCUUUUAUGGUUGGGCAUACUAGCAUUUUAGUUUGAAUAUCUAAAAUGGCAAGUUUAUCCAUUUGGUUCUGGUUAUUUGAAGAUUGCAAUUGCUCAGAUUAUUUCUUUGUGGCUUGGGUAAUAUAUCCUCCGCAAUCUUCGUUAUUCAAUUUUUGGGAUUACCAUUUGCUUAUUCUCCAGUUAUUUGGCCUUCACUGGUUCUUGUGAAAUUUAAUUGUUUACAUAUGUUGUUUCUCUACUGCUAAAAAAUAUGCAUAAGGUUUGCCUAUUCAUUUUAAGAAGAGUUGGAGGCAUAUGAUGGUUGGGGAUUGUGAUUUCCAUGAAAUACUACUCUCCGAGCAUUUUUUGAUGAACUAUUUCUCUUGUUUUUUUGUUUUAUUUUUCUUCCUGAAGUAUACAAUAAUGCACAUGGGGUGGGAAAAGAAUGAGGACCCUCAGUGGUUAGUUUUGCUCUUCCCUUGGCCUUCAACCUCACCAACUGCAGUGCAAUUUUUUUUAUAGGAAAUUGCAGUGCAGUUUCUUGUUCCAUAUUUUGAUUUGAAAAUAGUUUUUCCAAGUUUAUGGGAAUGCUACAAUUGCUCAUCGACUUAAAUAUGUUUUAAACUUAGUUUUAGUACUUUGAUCAUGACUUUGCCUUUUGGUUUCUUUUCACAUUUGAGCAUAUUUUUUUUUUUCAUAAACUGCACUGCAGUUUCUGUUGUAGUUUUUGAUCAGAAACUGCAGUGCAGUUUCCUGUUCCAUAUUUCGAUUUUGCAAGUCUAUGAGAAUGUUACAACUACUCAUCGACUUAAAUGUGUUUUGAACUUAGUUUUAUUGAUCAUGGCUUUAACUUUUGGUUUCUCUGCAAAUUUGAGCAUAUGUUUUGUCAUAAAAUGCACAGCAGUUUUCGUUUGUUGCAAUUUUUGAUAAGAAACUGCAUUGCAGUUUCCUGUUCCAUAUUUCGAUUUUAAAUAAUUUUUUCAAGUCUAUGUGAAUGUUACAAUUACUUAUCUACUUGUAUGUGUUUUGAACUUAGUUUUAGUACUUUGAUCAUGGCUUUGCCUUUUGGUUGCUUUUCACAUUUGAGCUUUUUAUUUAUUUAUAUAAACUGAACUGCAAUUUCCGUUAGUUGUAGUUUUUGAUAAGAAACUGCAUUGCAAUUUCCUGUUCCAUAUUUCGAUUUUAGAAUAAUUUUUUCAAGUCUAUGGGAAUGCUACAACUGUUCAUCGACUUAAAUAUGUUUUAAACUUAAUUUUAGUACUUUGAUCAUGACUUUGCCUUUUGUUUUCUUUGCAAAGUUGAGCAGACGUUUUGUCAUAAACUGCACUGCAGUUUCCGUUUGUUGCAGUUUUUUUUAUCAGAAAUUGCAGUGCAGUUUCCUGUUCCAAUUCUGUUUGUUGCAUCCUGUUCUAAGAUUAUAUAACAAUCAACAAUUUUUGUUUUUUUAGUUGUUUUUGUUUUUUAUAACAUAAUUGAUAUCAACAUUGUAUUUUGUUGCAGUUUCUGUUUUUAUUUGCAGUUUUUGUGUGAAUAAGUGUUGAAAUGAUUUUUUUUUAUUUUUAAUUUUUUAAAACUGUUGAUUGUUAUAUAAAUAUUGUAUAACUGAAUAAAUAUUGCAAAAUCAAGUUUGGUGUAGUGGUUUGUGAGUCAUCCUUCCUCCUUUAAGGAUUAAGAUUCGAGCCCUUCAAUGACAUAAAAUCUUUUUUUUCAAAGGUGAAUAAAGGGCAAUGGAGUUAGUCCUCUACAUGCGGUGGUGGCCGGCGACGAUGACAGGCGGUGAUGGCAGGCGGACGAUGCCCUGCAGUAAUGGCUAAAUAUGGACAUGUGGCAUAGUAUGCUUGCCUUAGAAGGAGUGGCAUUGUGUGUAAUUUUGAUAUUUUUUAGUGAUAUUUUUGUAAAAUUAGGUACUAAAUUUGGCCUUUGGUAUUAUGCUAAUUAGAUGAAAUUGUAUUCCUAUCUUCCAAAUUAAUAAACUACAUUAUGUUUUAAAACUAAAACUCCCUAAUUAUUAUUCAUUUUUGGUAUACAACAUUUGCAAGUGUUCAUGUGAAUUAUAGUGACCCUUAUAGUGUUGGGCUUCUUCAACACAAAUACGUACAGAUUGGUUUUAAGUCCAGCUCUUCCCUGGCCCAAAAUCCACACAUUCACCUAUUGAAUUUAGUCCUUCAAAGUCAAGGCCCAGAUGGAACUGGAGCAGCUUGCCAUGGUUGACUAGAUGUUUGGUUGAUGGAAUGGAGUCAUUCCUAUGACCUCGUUCGGUGGCAUGGCCUUAAACUAGAUUGAAAUAAAGUUGGAUUGUUGUUGAAUUUAAUUAGUUUAGUCCAAAUAUUUUAUAAGUUCAUCAAAGUAUAGUUCAAUUUAAUAGAAAUGAUCGAGGAACCAAACGAAUUCAACCAAACCAAAUAAUAGAAUUAUUCCUAUUCCUUCCUUCAUUCUGAUUACCAUUUAACUCCAUCCCAAAUAUCAAACAUCACCUAAGUUCAACAUCACCUAACCCAAGCCCCAAUUAGAGCUGCAUGAUUAGGCCCUAAGUAUUAUUAUUACGAAAAUGUUAUAAUGAGGUGUUAUAGGUGAGGGGGUUGUGGAAGGUGUUUAGGACAUGUGAAAAUUUAAGUUUUAAGAUAUUAUUCAAUCAUUCAUUCGAGUCAAAAGAGCAAAAUGUCAAGGGCCUUGUCGAAUUUGCCAUUUUGACAGGCAGGGGAAAUCAAUUGCUUGUAGGCCCCGUUUUAUUUAUGGGAAAGUAGGCUUGGAGAUGAGAAAUCAAUUGUUUUUCCAUGUUUGGUAAGUCCAGGCACAUGGGAAAUGGUUGCCUAGUAUAUGGGAAAGUAGGAGGAAAAGUGAAGCCUUCCUCUUAGCUUGGGUUUUGUUUUCCCUCCUCAUGGCAAAGUAAGGUCAUCAUUAAAUGUACAUUUUUUUAUGACCAAUUUUAUCCUUAGUAAUAAUUUUUAAUUACAAUUUUAUCCAACUAUUGGUAUUUUUUUAUAUAUUCAUAUUUCUUAAAAUCAUCUUAGCAUCGUUCUAUUUCUCAUAACUCUUAUUUACACAGGGAAGGCAACACUUCAAUCUUACAUAAGUUUUUACGUUCUCAUCCUCAGAGCAACUUCAAAUAAGGUGGGUAUUAUAUUUCUAUUCAUCACCCAAUAUGUAUAGACAACUUUGGAAUGUUAAUGAUGCUGUACUUUUUUUUUUUUUGGAUCUUAUAAUUCAAGGUUUAUACCUUAAAGUGAUUUCUCAAGUGACUGAUCUUAAGUAAUUACAAGAUUAUGUGUAAGAUGUGAAUUGUGUGAUGUGCUUACAAGCUGUGUGAUGAUCAUGUAUUUGUCAUAUUGAUUUGCUAAAGCUCAUUCUAGUUUUUUUUUUUUUUUUUUUUUUUUUGGGCCUUUUCAGUUAUUGCACCCUUACCACCUUCUUUUCAUCUAUCUCUACUUCCAGUAUACUUUUUGCUUGAUAGAACAGACAUGAACUAAUCCAACACCAAUGCCAGAAACUGAAAUUUUGCAUAUUCCUACUAUCAAUAGGACGUUGGUGUAAUGUUUAAUAAUUCAAUUGGAAAGUUUAAUAAAAUGAACAGAUUUUUCAUAUUUUUAACAAGGGUACAAUUGGGAAAACCAAACAAACUUCGUUUUCCAUUCCUACUCAAAACAAAUGUAAUAAAGGAAAUAAAGUGAUAUUUCCCGGUUACUUUCCCAGCAUUACCAAACAUGAGAAAUGAAUCAUCGUUUCUCAUCCUUUGAGAAAUGACAUAAGAAAUGACUUGAGAAAUGAUUUCCCAUCAAAUUCGUUCCGUGAACCAAACGGGCCGUAAUGUUUGAAUUGACUAAGCAUUUGGCUCUCCUCCUCCAUCCAGACCAGACCAGAGUGACAUUGAUGUACUGAUUUGCUUCUUAUACUAAUGAACUUAUUUGACUUUCAAGACCCCAAAAAAGAAUAAAAGUCUUUCCUUAAUAGCCAUCAGCAAGCAUCUCUUAACACUUGUUUUUUGAGAAAAUUGGUGCCAGGGGCCCAUCCUUAACACAAAUUUUAUAUCCACCCAGAUGUUUUAUCUCUAAAUUUUAAUGCUCUUUGACUCCAAAAUAGAACAUAUCGUUCUUAAGUUCUUUGCUUUCUUUUAGUCUUGGUUUUAAAUCAAAGUGCUAAUCAUUAAGUUUUGCGCAUUUGGUGCACAUGAUAUGUUGCUAAAGAUUAAACAGUACUCACAUGACCUAAGUGCUAAUUACAUGGGUUAGGAUUAGAAUAGAUGCAUGGCUCGAUUCCUUCUAACGUAAUCCAAAAAACCAAAGAUGCAACAAGCACAUCAGUUGAUAACAUAACAUUCAUAACACUCAACACAUCUGGUCUUUAAAAAAGACAUAAACUACGAACAGAGAAUUUCUGUAUAUGAAUAAUCUUGCUUUUCCAGUAGUGAUCUAAAUAGAUCCAUAUGAUACAUAUUGUGAAAAUGAGAAUCUUUUGUGUCCUUAUUCUUUCCUUCUUUAUAACCACACCGCACCUAGUUGUGGGCAUCAAUCCGGCCAAACCGAUGAAACCGACCGACCCAUACCCCAUCUUCCUCGUGCUCAUGAAUCCCUUUUGUCCCUUUCAAGACAUUUCAGCCACAGCCAUUGAUAAGUUUCCUUUUUCAUCUAUUGGGCCUAAAUAAGUUGCCAUGAGUGAGUCUAUUCUCUUCCCAUUUAAACUCGGACGAAGCAGAGUGUGGAUGGCCCUACUGACCUAACAAUUAAGGCAUCUAAAAUAAAUGGCUUGACAAAAUAGCAACCAGGAAUUUAAUGUUGUUUAUGGACUUCACCAUCACUAGGAACAGAAGAAACUGAAGCCAUCUGCUGCCACGUGUCCAAAAUUCAAAAUACCAAAAGGAUUCCUUCUUUUGUUUUCUUUUUUUGGGGGUAAUGUCCUGAAUGAGCUUUAGAUUCGAAACAAGUCUGCUUCUAAUCACAAGUUUACUCAUGAAUAUACCAAAAAAAAAAAAGUCAGAACUCAGCACCAAUUGGCCCUGCAAUCUUCAAAUGGCCUCAAGAUUGGAUCAAAACCAGAUAGGAUUAUUAAGGUGACAAAAAAAAUGCAGACUCUAAAUUGCAGCAUCAGUUUAGUUUAGUUUCUGAUAUCAACAAAAAAUGACUUCAGUGAACCAUUGCUAUUUAAUUUCGAUCCCCAAAUUAGAAAAAGAAGAAAACAGGUUAUCCAAGAUUGUGGGAGUUUCAAGAACUUUUGUCGUCCUUGUAGAACAAAUCAUGUUGUUCCAGUACAGAGUUCUAGCCAACAACUCAAACAUUACGCAGCACAAUGCUUAAGAUUGCAUAAUAUUGCUACCUGUUUACCUUUUCCAUUUCCCUUGAUCAUAUUACCUUCUAAAUGAAGGCAAGCUUAGCUGCCACAGAAAUAUAAACAUUUUCUUCAGCUAUUGAAACAAUCCACAAACACCCAGGAGGCUUCGGCCAUAAAGAAAAUCAGCAAAGGAAAACAUUUGAUUCUGAAGGUUUGAUGAAUUGUUAUGAUCUGAAACCUCUCACACUCAGACAAGUUUUUGUACCAAUUUCUUGAUACUUCAAGAAGCAGCUAGGCUGACUUCCAUCCUGAUUGUAAAGCAGAAAAUACAUGUCAAAUGCUGAACGUAUACUAAUAUAAGAAAUAUUAAUACCAAGCCCUCACUAAUCAGAUCAUUAUGAUCAGUAGAAUGGUAUAUAAAAUGUCCGGGAGCAACACACCUGCUUAAUCAAUGAUGGAAAAUGAAAGAUUACCAUUAUGAGUGCCUUUACCAUACUCUUUGUGACAAAAGGACCUUUAACAAUGAUUUGAAAACAGCAUGACAAAACAUACAAAGAACAUAAAAGAACUUGGACUUUAACCACCAACCCGACUUUGAUUAUAAAGAAACAGAAUCUAAAAUGUCUUUAGAACUGAAAAGAACAAGGCAUAAACGAAAGGCUACAGAAAACUUCUGUUUCAUAACAGUAUCCAGUUGAGGAUAGAAUUAUUUUGUUGAACAAAAGAGCCAAAAGCCUAUUUAAACACCAAUUUCAUGUGCAACCGAUCAGGUUCCCUUCACAUAAAACCAAAUACAAAGGGAAUUUGGAGGACAAAAGAUGGGGAAAGAAAAUAGAACAAAGGGUAUCGAAAGACUUUCAGCCCUUUGCCGGUCUCCUUUAACUUGUUAGCAUUGUGAUACAAUUAAAGGUCCGCAGGUCUUAGGUUGGAUGACUGGCACCCAUUGGAUCAGCUUAUUGUCAUUACCAGGCACCAAAAAAAAAAAACAAAGAAAAAGAAAAAGAAAGACUUUCAACCCUUUGACUAUUCUGACCUAGUAACAGCCAGCCAGCCAGCAAGACAGAAAACGGUAUGGCCAAGAAUUUAAAGACUUUUCAUUUUGCUCAUGGUGUCAAUUUUAAUAGGAGACUAAACAGAGUGACAGAAAUUUUGAACACCAGAAAUUACCAUUAGACUAACUGAUAUCUUCAGAAAAAGAAUAGAUCAGAGAGACUGAUACCUAUAGGAAGCAACCACACCUGAUGAGCAUUAACUAAUUAAUCUGACGUGGAGAUACUAAAAGAGACCCUAAUCAUGAAGCACAACAAUUUAAAUUCAUACCAUUGAAGAGGAACCACAAGAAUCUAACUUCCUAAUACAAGCGCAAAACCUAUAUGCAUGCAUAAUAGGUACAUCUAUAAAUUCCCACAUGCCUAAAUAUUAGAUAUCAAAUCAUUACAUGACUAAACCGUAAAUGCAAACCUAUAUGUGUAACCUAUUUGCUAAUCUGUAUGCAAAACUAGAAAUAACUUCAAGCAUCAGGGUGAAACAUGAAAAGAAAGUUAAAAGAUGAAACAUGCAGAUGCAAGGUAACACUUCACAUUCAACCUCAUAAGGUUUGUCGGCUCAACAGAACUGAGGAGGUCUUCCAGAACAAGGAAGCAUGCAGUCAAUAAACCCUGUACCGAAAUAGGGUUUGCAAUCUGCCCCCGCCCCCCGCCCCCACACCACCCACCCACACCCAAACAACACCCCCACCCCCCAAUAAUGAUGUAGGGAAGUCUGUCAAACGUUGUAAAUAAUCAGAAUUAUUUAUAGAAAAUGAAAGAAAACAAAAUGAAUCUCCCAAAGGCCUAACAGGCUAAUACCAUUAACAAGGUCUGAAAUUGACUCUAUAUCAUGUACAUAUAUAUAUAUAUACAUAUAUAUAAACUCCAUCUUUACAUAUUGGAACUACAUCAAUGUAAAGCAACUAGAUCGACCCUGCAUCCUGCCCCCAAUGAGCAAUACAAAAUGACCGAGAAAAAAAAAACUACAACUAAAAAAAGGGAAAUUAGAUAAAUUUUCUCCUUUUUUUCCUCUUAUAUAUUUUUGUUUUGCCUUCUAUAGGGUAAUUCCAAUUCUUCUUUUGUAAAAAUUCAGGGCAUAAUACCUCAGAAUUGAGAGUUCCAAGCCGCAGGGGCAGCUGCCUUUUCCAUUGACGAACUUUCAACAAAGUCACAAUCUUCUGGGCACAAUACAAAUCUACCUCUGCAACAAAGACCCAAUUACAAUUAGCAAGAGAAAUCUAAAAAAAAGUAACCGAAUAAAAAACUUAGAAUUUGUAGAAACAGAGAGAAAGAGAGACCUUAGAAGGAGAAUCAGCAACCUUGUAAGCAUCCGCAGUAACACCCACCAACCACAACCCAGGAAAAGUAAUCUGCAAAUUCAUUCAAGCCACAUAUAAAUGAUAAAAAAUAAUAAUUAAAAAAAAAACUUGCUAAACUCAACAACAAAACAAGCACAGCAGAAGCAGCAAACGAAGAAACGAAGAAACAAAGAAAGGGAAGGAGCAAGGUGGACGUACAUCGAGCUGUUUCUGAACAUUCUUCGGCCGCUUCUUGGGCCUUCUGGCAGGCCUCGACCCAGUCAUCACAAAUAUGUCCUCUUCAAUCUCCUCCUUUGACAAAGCGAUCCAGAACUUCCUGUUCUCUUUCUUCUCCACAUUCUGCCCCUCCGCCGCCAAACCCCUCAACCUCAUCGACUUCGGCUGCUGCAGCUCGCUCUGGUUCGGGUUCGGACUCUCCAGUUCGUGCGGUUCACCGUUGGCACCUCCCUUGGAAAACGACGUCGUCGCCGGAGCUCUCCUGGGCCUCAGAUUCCAGGGCUUGUGAACUACCUCGGCUUUGUCAGCUUCCUCGCCCUCCUCCUGAUCGCUCUCUCUCUCCUCGCUCCUGCGACGCUUGUCGCCAGCGCACGGGAUCAAGGAGUAGCGGUGGCGGGAGGCGCGGGAGGAUCCGACCCGGCUGUUGUUGUAGUGGGUGCGUUCGGAUUCGGAGUCGGGCUCGGAGGCGGGUUCGGCGGAGACGGGUCGGCGGUAGCGGUGGUUGUUGUUGGUGGUCGAGUUGUUCUUCGCCCCCCAUUUCAAGAAUGCGAGAGGGAAGUUGUGCAGCGGUGGCUUCACUGGCGCCGUCGCCAUUACUGAUCAACUCACAGAGCUCAAAGCCUUCAAAGUUCAAACCCAAAGCCUAUGCAUACACAUCAAACCAUAUAUGUAUAUAAAUAUAUAUAAUAUAUGUAUAUCAAUUUUGUAUGCUUGUGCUUCAAGCUUUUAGAGAGAGAAAGUGAACAAGAAGCGAGAGAGAGAGGGGUUGUGUGUGAUGUGAGGGGAGGAAGUGGCAGGGAGACGGAGGCCUUUUUAUGGUUUUAUAUGUAUACAGUAGGAAAAGAGGAGAAGCAGGACUUGUUUUUCCCUACCUCUACGUCUACGGCGUUACGGUUGUGAAUUUACUGUUUUAACCUUGGCCUUUUUUUCUUUGUUUCCGUUUGUGGGACCAUUUAAAAUCUGCUGUUCCGUAUUGUACUAUUUUGACCUCUUGGGUACAAUACCGGAUGAGCAUGAUGGGUCUCUAUAGUGGGCUCCACUGAAUGCUGUAAUCGGACGGUGGACGCGCGUAGUUGAAGAAGAUGAUGUACAGUAUUUCUGGUGUCGCUGGGUUUUCGGUGAGGUAUUUUCCUCAUGUCUUUUGGUUUUGGGAAAAAAGAAAAAGAAAAAAAAGAGAGGCAAUGAUGGUUAGAUUUUAAAUGGGCAAAUACGUAGAAGUUCAUAUCCAAAAUAAUUUUUUUUUUUAAAAAAAAAAAACCUAUUGACACUUAUGUUUUGAUCAAGAAGAUACUAUUAUCCAAAGCAUAGAAUAUGCAAAAUAUGUAGGUUUAGAGAGGUGUGAAACGAAUGGUACGAGCAUGAAAAUUAAUGAGUCGGAUUUGACACAGCACGAAAAUUUGGGUCGUGCCGUGAUGAGAAAAUUAGGUCUAAUGGACUGAGUCAACCCACAACCCAACAUAGGCCAUGCUUGGCUCGAGUCCGCUUCAAGCCUGGCACGAAUCUGGCAUGGCCCAUAUAACUUGUCCAACCCACUUAUGUCUCUUUUUAACGACUUGGAAAGCACACGAGCUCACUGAUAUCAAACCUGCUCAUCUUCUUGUUGAUAAAAACAACAACGCAGAGGAAGGCAUCUCUUUUCCAUUUCCUCUAGAAUCUCGUUUUGUAGAUUAGUGGUUUCUCAAUAAAUUUGAGAAAGGUUAGAUUAUGGAAGCGGAGUUAUGGGGCUUAUUCUUUGGAUUGCAGCUCGUUGUGAGUACCAUAAUUUCAAAUAUUUUGAUUGAAUUGGACUCUGCAUUGGUUGUGAACUUUAUUAAGAAUCCUGAGACAGCUGGUGCUCAUCCUCAUGUUGGUCUGUUCUAUGGCUAUUGGGAUUUAAUGAAGAAGAUAAGUACUAGUGUUAUUCAUCAUGUGUAUAGAUGAAGAAAUUAUGUGGCUGAGAGGCUUGCGAAUGGCAGCUAUAAUAUGAACUUAGGCCUAUAGUGGUUUGACUCCGCCCCUCCGUGAGUAGUAGAGGCCUUGGCAGAUGAUUUGUUAGGGAUCUCCAGACUUUGUUUUGUUCGUUUGGGGUAGUUUCUCUUUGGCGUUCUUCCCCUGUGUUUCAUAAAUAAAACAAAGGAAAAAGAAGAAAAAUAGGGAGCAGCCCCAUAUUUCUUUUACAAGCCAAGCCAGUCAAGCAAAACCACACCGUACAAAAGAUGAAUUCUUCAAGGAAGCAACGCACCCAACUUUCUUAUGCUUUCUCAGCCCCCGUCUCUCCUUCAAUAUAUCAUGCAUCAAUACAAGCAUUUGUGAAUUAAUUCACACAGAAUAUAUACAUACUAUAUAUAUAUAUAUAUUUAUUUAUAAAAUAAAUUCACGUCAAGUAAAAGCAUGCUGUGCCAAAGGAAAAUAAAUUAUUUUAUCUACAACCCAAACAUAUUAGUCAAAGCAAAAUAUAUGUUCUAAUGAAUAAUGCCAACCAAACUCAGUGGUGUUAUUGUUAAUUCAAGCAAAUUGACGGUAGAAUUGUAAAUUUAAGCAAAAUCGAUGGCAAAAUUUUAAAUCCAGGCGAAAUCAAUGGCGUAAUCGUAAAUCCAAGCAAAAGUGGUGGCAAAAUUGGAAAUGUAAGCAAAAGUGAUGGCUGAAACGUAAAUUCAAUCAGAAUAAGUCACAUAAUCAUAAACUCAAAGAGCAUGGGGUGAUUCUUGGCGAUACGAGGCUAUUUUUGCAAAAAUGCCAAAAAUAAUCUAGAUUGUGAAAUUUGGAAAAUUAAAAUCAUCAACAAUGAUGUAGAAGCAAAGAAGUUAUGUUAUCAUGCCAAACAUUAUUGCAACAUAUGGGAUAUCCCAAACAAGCAUAAAACGUUACGACGAUUACUUGAGGGCUUUAUGAGUAAAUAAAAUACGACAAGGGAGCAGAAAGUUAUGCAUAAUUACCAAACCCAUACAAGCAACAUACUAACUAAUACCAAGCACACAAGUCAAUGCAACUCGUACAAAAUCACUACCAUGCCAAAUCAAGCCUCUCUAGUCACUCAAGCAAAUCAAUUAGGCAAGCUUAGCUAUUUUGGGCUAAAUAACAAAUUUAACCAAGCAUUAUCUUUUCUGUCAUGCCACAAAAUAAGCCAACAAUUGGUAACUCCAGUGAGUAACCUUCGAUAUUACAGUGUCUAGGAAAGUCUUUUAAGGCGACACCUUCAGUGUCUAAGAAGGAUUGAGUUUUAAACGGGACCAUUGCGACCCCUCCAACCUUCCCAGAAAGACUUGGCUGUAAUUUCAGAGACCUUAAUUGAUCAUCCUUGAAUUGCUUAUUGUUACAUUUAAAUAUAUAUGACCAAGCUCACUGAUCAAGCAAAUCAAAACAAUGCCAAGGCGAAAAGGAACGUACAAGCCAAUUACAACAUGUAGAGUAGAUUUACUAGCCCAAUUCACAUGCUAAGAAAAUUGCAACAUGUCGAGAAAGCAAUCCAAACAAUCAUAAACUAUCAAAAUUAUUAAAGUUGAAGCCAUUUGGACAUAUUCGUAAACCCAUGCCAAACCAUGUCAUGCAAUAUCAAGUUCCCGCAAUUACUAGUUUCUUGCAAACAAACAAUCAUAACAUGCAAAAUCCAACAGUGUAAGCAACAAAGCAAGUAACUCAAGAAAAACAUGCACCAAGCAAUUAAGUUUUGUUUCAACCGUAAUCAAGCAAGCAUGGACACUUGAUGCAUAUUGAAAGUUGCUGAAAGAUCAUUAUAAAGAUGUCAACACUGGAAAGAGCUAGUCAUGCCACUGCCACAUCUUUUGGGCUAAAAAUUGAUUAUUCGAACAAUUUCAAUGCUUUUUCAUGGCCCCAAUAAUCAAGGGAGCCAAUGUUAAGGCUAAAAAUGUCACGAUAAGUCCAAUGAUAUUUAUAUCCCAAUAUAACAUACAAUAGUUGCCACAUGCUAAUCCAAACUAUAUUUUGGGAAUUAAUUCAUUAAAUAAAUAUAGAAAUAAUGUACAUAUCAUGCAAAGAAAAUAAUACAUUUAUGUAUGCUAAACCACCCGACAAACUUAAACGGGCCCAAGCCACCUACAUGUCUGGGGCUUGCUAAGCAGGUUGUGAUGUGGAUGGGUACAAGGAUCUAUGAGGCCCAUUAAAGGUUCAAAAGAAUGGAGGUUUUGGGCUACUUGGGAGCACCAAAACCCAAGCCCAUUUUUAUUAAGCCCGUUGAAUGGGUAAGUAGAGAGAACACGUCUUCCUCCAGUACUUAUUACCUAGCUAAUCUUCCAACCUUUCAGCACUUAAAACUAACUAUCAAUGCCAGUAUUAAAGUCACUAAUCCAACUCUUAAUCAUCCAUUAUUAAAAGCCACAUAUCAAUGAUGUCACUUCUCCAACGCCUAUAAAAGGAGGCGUUAACUAGGAAUACCACAAAACUAGGCAGAGGCAAGCUCACCCAUUAGCUGCUAGAAACACUCAAAACCAAGCCUUAACCUUUCCAUGCUCCUUUUCUGUCAGAAUACUACUUUAAGCUUUAAACAUCAUCCAAAUCACAACUGCAUCAACAAGAGCAAGCCCAUAUUCUAGCUGUUAUGAAGUACUAAACUCAAGCAUUAACCAUUCCAUAUAUACCUUUCCAAAAUCACCAUUCAAUCAUUCCACAAUACACUGCAAUAAUUAUCCAUUUCUCAAGCAAACCAUUCAAAACAACUGCUGGAAGAAGAAUAAAGUAUUCCCUAGGACUUGCUUCUCAUUCGGGAUACUUUGAGCCUAGUUCUUUCUUACUCAGAAACGGGAAUUGAAGGUUGUAUUCACCUCUUUUCAACUAUUCAGUCAAGUUAAGCAUUCUAAAAAAAAAAGGCCUCCACAAGAGUGAUUCAUAUGCAUCAUUGGUUAGAAAUCUAUAGUCAUGCACCGACACACGACUAACCACAUCAUUUAUUUAUUAAUUACAAGAUAUUGUGAAUCAUUACAUGUUAAUCACAUUGACUUCACAUAAAAAAAAUUUAUAUACUACAUAUUGGUAAUAUACUACAUAUAUGUAAUAUACCACACAUAUAUACACAUACAAAGGUGAUCUAAUAAAGUCAAUCUUCUAUAAUUAUUUAGUUAAUUAUUCUUGAAAUUUUAAUUUUCAUCUCUCUUAUAAAUAAAGCUAGUAAAGUAAAUAAUAGUAUACUAAUAACUAUUUGGCCUUGUAGCAUUUAGUUCUCGCUUUGUUAGAUUAAAAUCUUAUGAAUGAGAGUUUACUUUGUUAGCCAUGAGAAUGCCAAAUUAUAAUGGGAAAUGUAGAGAGACUACAUUUAUAGACCACUUUACCAUCUCCCUACUAAAGGUGAGACACAUUGUAUUGGUGGGCUCUACCUCUAUUAAAGAGGUGGUUCUUAUAGAAGAUGGUUAUAAAUAUGGUCUUCCUAGAAUGACUCAUUUAUAAUUUGAUAACGUAAGUAUCAAACUUUGUUACAGUGAGUUCCUACCAAAAAAAAAAAAAACAGUUGACAAUAAGUUUUAAGGGAUAUCAAUUUGUCUUUUUGUUUUUGUUUUUUGAGUUGAUUGAUAUUCUAUUCUAAGGGGAGGGGGAAAUCUAUUCUAAAGGGACACCCACAAGGGGAUUUGAACUGGUGCCAUGGGGUUUGCAAACAAAGACCUCAACCACUGAGGUAAACACCCAUGUACUCAAUUUGUCAGUUUGCUACCUUCAAAUUCAAGUAAAAUUGACUACUCGUCGAAAUAAUACUUAUAUUAUUACCAUUAUUGUUCACGUGACAAUUUGAUAUAUCGAGUGCAUAUGUUAUUUCAUGUUUGGUAGGUGGGACUGGAUUGGAUUAUUUCAAAUAAAAUGGACAAGAGUCAUGUUGUUGUCUAAUGAGCUCAUACUGGGCCUAUUAAAGUGGACAACAAACAACAAUCGGUGGAACUCAUAAGGAUUUGCUUGGAGGCAACUCCAAUGCAAUCCAACCCGGAUCACCAAACGAUAAUGAACAGGAAAAAGUUAAUACUAUUCUCUAGGGCUGUGGGCCGUAACAAGGUUGGGUCCAACUUAUAAUGUUGAGGUUGGGCCUACUUUCCCAACCAACUUGCUCUUCACAGCCUUCGACGGUUGUGUUCCAACCCUAAAAUCCCAAUGUUGAACUCUUUCCCGAAAACCGUCUAUCUCUUUAUUGUCUAUCUCUAUGAAGCUUUUGUGAAAGCUCCAAUGGCUCAUUUCACUAAACCCUAAAGCUCACCCACUCUCCCUCACUUCAAUUCAUAAUUUCUAGUGUUUCGUGUGGAAAAACCUCUCAAUGCCCCCAUCAACGGCGCUCUCGGCCUUUCACCGUUCCCAUUGUCUCUUGGUAUUGCAACAACACCAUGGUCACCACGGGUAAUCAAAAGACUUCAUCUUCACCGGCUGCUCUUGGCCAUAUACUGUCUCGAUCCGUGCUCCCACGCUUCAUCGCUACCCAAUCUUCAGUCACUGCGAUCGCUGAAUUCUCUUCCAUGCCCUUCUCCUCACGACGCUCUUGUUUCAUUGGUGCCUCACUUGUUCAUUACCGUCCUCCGCUCACGCACUUUGUUUCUUUGGCAAAUUCCACUCGGUAUUUUAAUAUUGUUUGUCAUCAUCCGCUGCUUAUUGGAGAAGAUUUCGAUCUUUCCAGUUUUGGGUCCAUCUUCGUUGAUUUUCUCACUCGUCAUCGUCUCCUACACUAUAUAUGCUUAUUUGUAACUUCUUGAAUCUCACUUCCCAGCAUGGAAAAGUGAGUUGGAAGGCUGCCUAUCUUCUCUUCCAGCUUAUGAUUGAUCACUCCGUUAGUGUAGAGUUCUACAUCCAUGACAGCAUCACCAUCAUUGGUGCCAUCAAUGCUUCCAUUAGUGUAGAGUUCUCACCGCUCUUGCUGCUCAUAUUGGUGUUCUUGUGCUUCUUACAGAUGACUUCCUACGGAUGACAUUGGCUCUUCCGAUUCUAUCAAAGUAAACAAUCAUAUCACUCUCCAUCGCAGCGAUGCUCAUUGUACCUCUGGUGGUCUCUCUAUUGAACAACAAGCACUUUUGGACUCAUUCUCUGCUUCCCAUUAAGUGAUGCAUGUGCUUCUUCGCCGCAUCUAAAUCGUCUUGAUACUUAUAGUGAUCUACUGCUAACUCUUGCUGGUCAUAUCCAAUCGUCUGAUCCUCUUUCUCGUCCCUUUCAGGCUCGCAGUCUCUAAGGUCCCUCUAUUUGUUUUUGGCUUAUUCUUAUGUUCUAAUUUUGUUGACUUCUCUGUGUUCCUUUGGCUUUCCUAAACAAAAAAAAGGGAGAACACUUAUGUUACAUAUGUUAGUUAGGGGAAGUAACUUGUCUUUUGGUAGUUAGAAGCAUGUUAUUUAGGGGGAGAAUUUUUUAUAUUUUAUUUUAUGAUAUCAUAACUUGUAAUGUAUUGCUAACCACUUAUCAUAUGAAGAAUUGUUGUUUAAUUGUGCCAAGUUCUGUUUGUUGAUUUUCAAUUCUAUUUGCUUCAUUGGUGGCUUAUUUGUUGGUGUGAGGAAGUUAUAAGAACUGGAUGUUUGUUGGGCUGUUGAGCAUAGUGAAUUAGGUUGUUUAGUUUUUCCUUGUAAAUGUGUUUGCAAUGUAAUCUAAUGUUUUGUCUAGGAAAUGCUAAAUGGGGAUAUUGUUAGUAUGAAAAUUGUAUUGGCAUUUCCUAGACUCUAGCAUAGGUUGGGAAUUAGUGUGUGAAUAUCUUUUACUGGAAGUUUUGGCGCAGCACAUUCAAACCCGAAUUUUCGAAGUAUGACUUGAUUGAUAUGAGGAAAUUGAUUUCAGGUAAAUCAUGACGUGAUUAUGCAUUCAUGAUAGGAUUCUUAGUUGGAGUCAUUUUCACUCAAGUGCUUAUGUGUUCGUCUUAUUUUUAAUAGUUAGAUUUUAUCUUUUGAGAUUACUUUCAUAGUUGGACCUUAUUUUGAUUCUCAUUAAAACUUUACUUUACCUCUUAUGACUUGGAGGGCACGUUGCUAUAUUAAAGUCAUCUCCUACCUAAUUGGUCUCAUUGAUUUAUCUUGGUUGAUAUUAUUUCCUUCUAUAAUAGUUAAUUUUAGUGAGAGACAUUCUUUCUCAGAUUGUGCAAAAGAUGAUGUUUUUGAUUAUGAUCCUAAAAGAAUCAAAUUUGAUAUUGACGAAAAGUCACGUGCUUUCUUGCACUUAGACUUUUCAAAGUGAGAACCUUUUUCGCAUAAAAGGUUGGGUGCCUCUUUUUGGUACUCACGGCUUUCAAGAUUGGUAUGUGAGCAUCUAAAAUUCCUAAGAAAGCUACUGUGCAUAACUUUGAGACAAGUCAUCAAGUGUUCCAUAUUUACUUGGUGAUUGAUCAAAUACAUUCAUAUUGCAUAUUUGGUGACUCAUAUGGUUGUGGGUACCAAGACCGCAUGACGGUUUUUCUCCGGCUAGCUUGAAGCAAUUGUGACCAGUAUUGCAUUCAACAUAAGGAGUGUCGAAAGAUCAUCCCAUGACAAAAGUUGAGUUACGAAGAAGUUGGUAAAUAUUAUCUAGAAUGUGUGUAAGGUAAGUGUGUGAGCACUUUUUGUUGUUGAGCCUAUUCUUAACAACUAAAAUGAGUUAUUAAAAACAGCAACUUUAAUUCUCGCAAGUGCACGAACCGUUUAUAGUAUAGCUUAUGUAAAUACGAGGUCGAUCCCACGGAGAAUGGUAACUUGGUUCCAAGUUAAAUUACUUAGAAUGCUAGAAAAACAUAGAACAAAGAAAGUGACUAACUAGCUAAAGGCAAGGUCGAAUUCAACAAUGCCUCUUGCUAAUUACUCAAGGUCUAGGACAGAAUCCUAGCACCACACACGCACUCGAAAUGGGGGGUUUUGUUGUUGAAAUGAAAACAAGAAAGUGAAAUGAAAGUGCUCGAAAGUAAACACUGGCAGCAAUCAACAAAUUGUGAAACAAUGAUUGAGAGGUGUUAGAGCCUUGGAAUCUGCCACUAGUCUUCCUAUCCAAGUUAUGAAUGCAUAGAAAUUGACUCAAGCUUCAUCAACAAUAGAUUAUCGCAUACAAGCCUAUGGUAUCUAGGUGCAGGAUGCAUCAUUCUCCUAAGGCAUGUGAUUGUGCAUGGUAUCUACACAGCACGUGAUCUCUAAUAUGCAACCUAAGCAUGGUAUCUACUUAGAAUAAAGCAUACAAGAGUCAUUAAGCUCCUUGAGAAUAUGAUAAUCACACAAGUCCUAGAACAUGGUAUCUGUCCUAGUCAACCUAUGGUUGUUAACCCCUUGAAUGAUUCUUAGGCCAUUCAUGUGUUGCUUGUGAAAGGAGAGUAGAAUUGGUGAAUCUAAACCCCUUCCCAACCUGUGCUAGAUGCAUAAAAUCCUAGUUAGCUACUCCAAGAAAACAUACAUCAAGCACAUAAUAAACUGGAGAUUAACAACUUGAUAAUAAAAGCAGGGAAAUCAAUUAACUAUAAAAUCAUCCAUAACGUUGAAUAUUCAUGACUAGGGCUUCAUCCUAAGCCCUAACUAAAUGGAUUAGUUAGACAUAACUAUGAACACAGAAAAUAAGAAAUACAUAGAUAGGAUAAAGAGAGGAGAAGAACUAGAUGAUGGCAGCAAGGAAGUUCCCAGGACAGCUCCAAGCUCCCUUGACAGCUCCAAGCUCCCUUCUGUCUUUGUGGUGAAUCUGAAUGUGUGUAUGAGAGUAAUGGAUGAAGUGAAUGUGUGUGUCUGCUCUCUCUCCUUGAAUGAGUGUGCAACUCUCUAUUUAUAGAGUGCAAUUUCGUGCUCCCCUUUGGCUGGUGAAACACACCUCUCUUAGCUGCUCCCAAUUGCCUAAGCUGCCCAAUAAAUGCCAACUUUUCCAGCUGCCCAAUAAAUGCUUUGGUGGACUUUUCUUGGUUUCUUUAUGGAAAGCUUGACUUUUGUUCAUCCUUUUGGGUUCCCAUACUGAUUUGUCUCCCAUGUGUAGCCUACCAUAAUUCCUGGAAAAUGGUCCUUGAUUUGUGCAGACAAGAUCCCCAUAAUUAAGCAUGCCAUGUUUUGCUCCUUUUUGACUUCCAUAGCUGAAAUGCCUCCCUAAUUUGCUCAACAUGUCAGGUCCAAAGUCAAACAAUGAUGAAGUGAGGCACAUGGCUCAAGGGAGGUGUGGAGCACAAGGCUCACCAGCUGGCAGCUACAUAUUAAAAUCCUCCUAGAGCAUGGUUCAGUGUUUGACAGGCCAAGGACUCUAUCUGUCAUUAAUUGGGCUGAAAUUUGGAUAUGUUAUACUAGACACCCAUUGGAACAACUUCUGUGAAGCAUGUCUCCUCAUCCAAGUAGUGUAGGUUGCUGAAAUGAGGCCUGCAAGAUGACCCACGAAUUUGGACUGACAAGGAGUGUGGCCCAAAUUGGUUCUGUCAUUAAGCUCAUAUUCCUCUUGUGCCAAUCAACCCUUAACAUGCAUGAAUUGUAUCAAAUGUGAUCCCCUUGUUGUCCUAACCUACAAAACACACAAACAUAGGUAAGAGACUCAAAAUAAAGAGAAACUAAACAAAAUUACUAAGCAAAGAAGACAUGCAAAUGUGUGAAAUUAUGACCUUAUCAAAUACCCCCAAACUUAGAUUUUGCUAGUCCUCGAGCAAAACAAAAUAAAAUUACAACUUAGGAAACAGGAAAUAAGCAACUAGCCUUCCAAACAAUAUCCUCAAAGAAUCAUCAGUGUAUAUGGUUCCAAAGAAACACAACAAUCACAAUCUAAGUUCCACACAUGAUUCACGAGAAAGCAAAGCUAGCAUUGACACCCUUAAGUGUAGUGUGUGAAUGCCAAAUCCGAACAACACCUGCAACUCAAAUAAGUACAUGCGCACACACUUAGAGCAAAAUCAAGAAUUCCGAACCCCAUAAGCUCAUUAUCCAAUCUGCUCUCCACAGUAAUACCAUGCAACACCAAGGAUCAAAAGGACUUUACAAGGGUAGUAAUGAGGUUUAGGGUAGUGGUUGAAUGAAAGAAGGGAUAUGAGAUAUACAAUAUUUUGAGCACACUUAAAGCACAGGUAAGAGCAUAAGAGAGUACUUAACUUUGUAACAAGCAAGGAACACAUACAUGAGCAGAUUUUCAACAUAAUUUCAGCACCUUGAAAUGUGUUUAUUUGGCCUAAUUUUGUGGCUCUUUACCCUAGAUCACCAUGAUGUUCUCCUUAUAACACCCUAGGGCCGUGACUACAUUGGUCACACUUCAUUACCUCUUUUGAUUAGUUACCAAUACCCCCAAACUUAUUUCUUUUCAACACUUGGGUUAUGGCACCAAUUAUUCACUUUUGCUCUAUAAACCUUGCAUUCUUUAUGACUCUCUUUUGAAGAUAGCUUUAAUUGCUCAUACAAUAAGUAAGGAUAAGAAAACAGAGGCUCAUUAUGGUAGGAUUCGUUUACACAAAGAAAGGCUUAACGUAGGCUCAAAUGGGAUGACUAGGGAUGAAUACAUGUAGAGGGAUGGUUAGAAAGGCUCAAACGGUUCAAACAUGGCCUAAAUCACUUCCUAAGCAUUGUAUGGCAACAAAAUGUCUCAAGAAAUAUUCAAAUAAGUUCUAGAGUAUGAAACCAAGAUCAUGAGAUAAGUAGAAUUGCAUAACGUCUCUAAGUAGCAAGACGUUGGACUAACUUGGCAAAGUGCUCUUAAGUGCAAGGAUGGCAUGCAAGACAGAGUUAACUCAGAACCACACAAAGUCCUUAAACAAUGACUAUCAAUUUCUGAGAAACCAUAUUAGUAUUAGAUCCAAGUCUUUAUCAUAGGUGUUUGGAAGGAUAACGAAACAACACACAAAAUCCUGCGUUUUUAGACAGUAGACACACUCAAAAAUUUUAAAAUUUGACAAUUUGAAACAACAUAACUAAAUCCUUCCCCCCAAACUUAAAUGAAACAUUGUCCUCAAUGUUUAGAGUGUAAGAAAAAGCAAUGCCUCAUAAAUGAAAGGAAAGAAGACAAGGGAAAGACAUAACCAAAGGUUAGAUUUCAGAAAAACUCCCCUUUGAAGCGAUUAGGACGCAAGCAGGCUUCCUCGCACGUUCUAUCUUCUCCUCGUCACCUUAGGUUGCCUCCCAAGAAGCGCUAAGUUUCACGUCUUCAGCCGGAUGUCCAAACUUUCUAUAGUGAAUGGGGGGGUUUGGGCUCAAUCGACACCUCAUGCAAUGCAAGACAGUUCACCAAGCUUGUUCUCCUUUUCCAUUGCUUCCUUGCUACUUUUCUUUUCCUUUUCUGUUUAUGAAUGGAAUCACAAUGAAUUGUAGGAAUGAUUGGAAUAUUCACAUCUCCAAGUUUGGGCAGCCCCUUCUUGUGUGUGGGAAUUGGAGCAUUGAACAUGUGGGCUGCCCUCUGCUCCUCCUUGUCUCCUCUUUUCAGCAAGCAUGAUUCUACUGAAUAAGGAAGGCCAUCAAAUCUCUCUUUCCCUGGAUUACCAAGUACUUCAAUUUGAAAACAAUCUUGUACAACAUUUGGCUUCAGGGCAUCAAACACUUUGAAGGCAACAGUUUCUCCAUUAACGAUCAUGGUGAGAGUGCCUUGCUCUACAUCAAUCUUGGUCUUAGCAGUAGCCAUGAAGGGUCGGCCAAAGAUAAGGGGCAAUUCAUUGUCAGGAAUUGGUGCUUCUUCCAUCUCCAAGACUAAGAAAUCAGCUGGCAAGAUUAAACCUUCUACGUUCACCAAAACGUCUUCUAGAAUGCCCUUGGGAUACCGAAUAGUUCUAUCUGCCAAUUGAAUGCUCACAGUUGUGGCUUGCAACUCACCAAGGUUAAGUUUCUCAUAAACAUGAUAUGGCAUAAGGUUAAUGGAUGCACCGAGAUCAAGCAAAGCUUUUGGAAUCUUGAAAUCACCAACAAUGCAAGGUAUAGAAAACGAACCUGGAUCCUUUAGCUUUGGAGGUAGCUUUCUUUGUAAAACUGCACUUACCUCUUCACUCAAUGCAACUUGUUCAUGCUCUUUGAAUCUCCUCUUGUUAGUGCAUAGAUCCUUCAAAAAUUUUGCAUACUUUGGAAUCUGAGUAAUGGCAUUGAGCAAUGGGAUGUUGAUUUGCACCUUCUUGAAUGUUUCCAUUAUCUCAUCCAAGCCUUGAUCUUUCUUUGACUUUGAUAACCUGCUGGGAAAGGGUGCAAUAGGCCUAAAAGCAUUAGUUGAAAUUGGAACUUGAUUAGCAUUAGAUGAUACCUUAGGGCCUGUGCUCUUUCCAGAAGGAUUGAGGGACUGUUUGUUGGAAACUGUGGGCUGCCCAUGUGGUGGCUGAAUGAUCUCCACGUUUUCUCCAUCUUCUUGCUCUUCAUUGGCAUCUCCAACCUUAUUAUCAACUUGUUUACCACUUCUCAAGAUGUGCACUACUUUAACUUGCUCAUGAUGCCUUGGAUUCACCUCUGUUUGGCUCGAAAAAGUUCCGGAUGCUCUAUGGCUCAAGGAGGAUGCAAUCUGCCCAACUUGCACUUCUAGUUUAUUCACUGCAUUUUGAAGAUUCUGAUUGGUUUGCAUCUGUUGCCCCAUGAACUUCUUGAACAUGUCUUGCAAUUCUCCCAUUUGAUCACCCCUUUGCUCUUGCACUUGUUGGGGAGCUUGCUGGAAUUGCCUUUGUUGUGUUUGGAAUCCUGGGAGAGGUCCUUGAGAUUGUUGCACAUUCGAAUUAUUGCUCCACCUGAAAUUAGGAUGAUUUCUCCACCCCGGAUUGUACAUGUUUGAGUAAGGAUCAUUAUUAGGAUUCCUUGCUUGAAGGGCAUUUGCUUGUUCUAGCAUCUGUUCUGCAAAAGAUUGGUCUUGAACUUCCACUUUGUUUCCUCGAGGGCCAGUCACUGCCUGUUGGAGCAAAGAACACAUAACAUCAAGUUUUGUAGCAAUCUCAUUAUUAGUACUUACCUCAGAGACCACAGCUUUCAUAGGAGCUCCUCUUCCUUUAUUGUGGCUCCAUUGUUGAGAGUUAGCACUCAAGGAUUCAAAGAGAGUAAAAGCCUCAUCUGCUGUUUUGUUCAUCAGUCCUUCUCCACUUGUUGCAUCUACCAUCAUCCUUUCGGAAUCAAGCAAACCUUCAUAGAAGGAUUGCAUUUGCAUCCAACUCUCUAUGUUGUGGUGUGGGCAAGAACUUAUCAUCUCCUUGUACCUCUCCCAACAUUCAUGAAACGCUUCUCCUUCCUUUUGUGUGAAACCAAGAAUUUCCUUUCUAAUCUUGUUAGUCUUUUGAGCCGGAAAAAAUUUCUGCAAAAACUUAUUAGAAAGCUCUUCCCAAGUAUGAAUUGAAGCAUUAGGCAAAGAGUAUAACCAAGACUUAGCUUUAUCUUUUAAACUGAAUGGAAAUAGCCUCAUCUUAAUCUGCUCAUCAUCAAGGUUUUGAAUUUUGAUCGUAGCACAUAUUUCAAAGAAUUGCUUAAUAUGCAUGUAAGGAUCCUCAGUGGUAUUACCAUAAUAAGUUGGAAGAAGAUGAAUCAUACCACUUUUAAGCUCAAACCUGUCAACUGUGAGUUGAGGAUAGACGAUGCAUGAAGGUUGAUCGGUGACUUUGGGAAUGGAAAACUCACGUAGGGGUUUUCUUGGUUGGACAACAAGCACACCACCUCCUUCAUCAUUGUUGUUGUUCGGAAUCUCUGCCAUGUUGCUUGAACCUUCAGAUUCGUAACUUUUAGAUUUAACGCUUGAAGAACUAUAAUUCCUCCUCAAACCAGCACGCACAGCAGCGGUUCUUGGUGAAAGUGGCUCAGGUGAACUUUGCUCCUGGUCAGAUUCGGACAUGCGCACACCAAGGAAGUCAAUUAAGUGCUUUCAAUGGAGAUAACAACAAAAUACAAAAACUGAAUACUAAAAGAAAAACUGACGAAAAGAAACAAAUGAAACAAACAAAAACAAAACAAUCAAAGUAAUCUAACUAUAGCACCAUCAUUACCGGUUUCCCCGGCAACGGCGCCAAAAACUUGUUGAGCCUAUUCUUAACAACUAAAAUGAGUUAUUAAAAACAGCAACUUUAAUUCUCGCAAGUGCACGAACCGUUUAUAGUAUAGCUUAUGUAAAUACGAGGUCGAUCCCACGGAGAAUGGUAACUUGGUUCCAAGUUAAAUUACUUAGAAUGCUAGAAAAACAUAGAACAAAGAAAGUGACUAACUAGCUAAAGGCAAGGUCGAAUUCAACAAUGCCUCUUGCUAAUUACUCAAGGUCUAGGACAGAAUCCUAGCACCACACACGCACUCGAAAUGGGGGGUUUUGUUGUUGAAAUGAAAACAAGAAAGUGAAAUGAAAGUGCUCGAAAGUAAACACUGGCAGCAAUCAACAAAUUGUGAAACAAUGAUUGAGAGGUGUUAGAGCCUUGGAAUCUGCCACUAGUCUUCCUAUCCAAGUUAUGAAUGCAUAGAAAUUGACUCAAGCUUCAUCAACAAUAGAUUAUCGCAUACAAGCCUAUGGUAUCUAGGUGCAGGAUGCAUCAUUCUCCUAAGGCAUGUGAUUGUGCAUGGUAUCUACACAGCACGUGAUCUCUAAUAUGCAACCUAAGCAUGGUAUCUACUUAGAAUAAAGCAUACAAGAGUCAUUAAGCUCCUUGAGAAUAUGAUAAUCACACAAGUCCUAGAACAUGGUAUCUGUCCUAGUCAACCUAUGGUUGUUAACCCCUUGAAUGAUUCUUAGGCCAUUCAUGUGUUGCUUGUGAAAGGAGAGUAGAAUUGGUGAAUCUAAACCCCUUCCCAACCUGUGCUAGAUGCAUAAAAUCCUAGUUAGCUACUCCAAGAAAACAUACAUCAAGCACAUAAUAAACUGGAGAUUAACAACUUGAUAAUAAAAGCAGGGAAAUCAAUUAACUAUAAAAUCAUCCAUAACGUUGAAUAUUCAUGACUAGGGCUUCAUCCUAAGCCCUAACUAAAUGGAUUAGUUAGACAUAACUAUGAACACAGAAAAUAAGAAAUACAUAGAUAGGAUAAAGAGAGGAGAAGAACUAGAUGAUGGCAGCAAGGAAGUUCCCAGGACAGCUCCAAGCUCCCUUGACAGCUCCAAGCUCCCUUCUGUCUUUGUGGUGAAUCUGAAUGUGUGUAUGAGAGUAAUGGAUGAAGUGAAUGUGUGUGUCUGCUCUCUCUCCUUGAAUGAGUGUGCAACUCUCUAUUUAUAGAGUGCAAUUUCGUGCUCCCCUUUGGCUGGUGAAACACACCUCUCUUAGCUGCUCCCAAUUGCCUAAGCUGCCCAAUAAAUGCCAACUUUUCCAGCUGCCCAAUAAAUGCUUUGGUGGACUUUUCUUGGUUUCUUUAUGGAAAGCUUGACUUUUGUUCAUCCUUUUGGGUUCCCAUACUGAUUUGUCUCCCAUGUGUAGCCUACCAUAAUUCCUGGAAAAUGGUCCUUGAUUUGUGCAGACAAGAUCCCCAUAAUUAAGCAUGCCAUGUUUUGCUCCUUUUUGACUUCCAUAGCUGAAAUGCCUCCCUAAUUUGCUCAACAUGUCAGGUCCAAAGUCAAACAAUGAUGAAGUGAGGCACAUGGCUCAAGGGAGGUGUGGAGCACAAGGCUCACCAGCUGGCAGCUACAUAUUAAAAUCCUCCUAGAGCAUGGUUCAGUGUUUGACAGGCCAAGGACUCUAUCUGUCAUUAAUUGGGCUGAAAUUUGGAUAUGUUAUACUAGACACCCAUUGGAACAACUUCUGUGAAGCAUGUCUCCUCAUCCAAGUAGUGUAGGUUGCUGAAAUGAGGCCUGCAAGAUGACCCACGAAUUUGGACUGACAAGGAGUGUGGCCCAAAUUGGUUCUGUCAUUAAGCUCAUAUUCCUCUUGUGCCAAUCAACCCUUAACAUGCAUGAAUUGUAUCAAAUGUGAUCCCCUUGUUGUCCUAACCUACAAAACACACAAACAUAGGUAAGAGACUCAAAAUAAAGAGAAACUAAACAAAAUUACUAAGCAAAGAAGGCAUGCAAAUGUGUGAAAUUAUGACCUUAUC
rnacentral:lncRNA from 1 species